rnacentral:lncRNA from 1 species
AAAUAUCCAAAAUUUUAUUUGAAUACCCGAAAUAUAAUUUUGAAUUUUACUGAAACCCGAAACUAUAACCAAAUAUCCAAAUCAAAAUUUUCAAAAAUUCUAUAAUAUUGAAAACAUAUCUGAAAUAACAAAAUAUACAUAAUAUACACAAAAUAUUUCCGGUACUUUGGGUACCUGGACUCAAAUAGAGACAUGCGGGUCCAAAAACAAAACCCAAAGUUUGCUUGAUCCCGGAUCCGAACAUGUAUUUCGUGUUAGUUUCGGUUCAGUUUUUUGGAUCCUGGUCAAA